GACGGGCCCACGGCUGAAAAAGGUUGCUGACCCCUGCUCUCCCAUGGACUGCAAGAAGAUCAAACCUAUCCAUUUUGAAGGAAAUCAGCCCGGAGUGCUCACUGGAAGGACAGAUCCUGAAGCUGAGGCUCCAAUACUUUGGCCACCUCAUGAGAAGAGAAGACUCCCUGGAAAAGACCCUGAUGUUGGGAAAGACUGAGGGCACAAGGAGAAGGGGACAACAGAGGACGAGAUGGUUGGACAGUGUUCUCAAAGCUACUAACGUGAGUUUGACCAAACUGCUGGAGGCAGUAGAUGACAGGAGUGCCUGGCGUCCUCUGGUCCAUGGGGUCACGAAGAGUCGGACACAACUAAACAACUAAACAACAUAAGUGAUUGGUAUGCAACAACAGCAGCAAGGAUACUACUCGCAAAACAUUGGAAAACUCAAGAUCUACCCACACUGGAAGAAUGGCAGAUGCAACUUAUAGACUAUAUGCAACUGGCUGAAAUGACUGGCAGAAUCCGUGACCUGGGAGAAGAGAGAAUCGAGGAGGAUUGGAAGAAAUUUAAGAACUACCUACAAAAACAUUGUGAUUUGACUGAAUGCUGAAUAAGAUGCUAGACUAAAUAACUGAGCACCACUUAACUUAGAAGUUUUUAAGAAAAUAAGAAAAACUGUGAAAGUUUAACUCUUUAUGAGAACUAUAAGAUUAUGAAAUACCGAAGAGAUAUAAGAAUUUAAAUAAGAUGAUAAAUUGCUGACAAAAUGUUAUAAUGAUGAAGGUGGGAGCGGGAGGUGUGAGGAAGUCCAAAGAAAAUGUGAAAUUAUGUUAAAACGAAUGUUAUAUUGUUUAUUACAUUUAUUCUUAUUGUAAAAUCCAAUAAAUUGCUUU